GUCCACGCCGUAAACGGUGGGUACUAGGUGUGGGGACGAUUCCACGUUCUCUGUGCCGUAGCUAACGCAUUAAGUACCCCGCCCUGGGGAGGUACGGCCGCAAGGCUAAAACUACAAAGGAAUUGACGGGGCCCCGGCCACAAGCGGCGGAGCAUGCGGAUUAAUUCGAUGCAACGCGAAGAACCUUACCUGGGUUUGACAUAUACCGGAAACGUCUAGAGAUAGGCGCCCCGCAAAGGUCGGUAUACAGGUGGUGCAUGGCUGUCGU
rnacentral:rRNA from 1 species